rnacentral:rRNA from 1 species
AACGCGAAGAACCUUACCUACUCUUGACAUCCAGAGAACUUAGCAGAGAUGGAUUGGUGCCUUCGGGAACUCUGAGACAGGUGCUGCAUGGCUGUCGUCAGCUCGUGUUGUGAAGUGUUGGGUUAAGUCCCGCAACGAGCGCAACCCUUAUCCUUUGUUGCCAGCGGUUCGGCCGGGAACUCAAAGGAGACUGCCAGUGAUAAACUGGAGGAAGGUGGGGAUGACGUCAAGUCAUCAUGGCCCUUACGACCAGGGCUACACACGUGCUACAAUGGUCGGUACAAAGGGUUGCUACCUAGCGAUAGGAUGCUAAUCUCAAAAAGCCGAUCGUAGUCCGGAUUGGAGUCUGCAACUCGACUCCAUGAAGUCGGAAUCGCUAGUAGUCGCGGAUCAGAAUGCUACGGUGAAUACGUUCCCGGGUCUUGUACACACCG